UACGUAGGCAGCGAGCGUUGUUCGGAGUUACUGGGCGUAAAGGGUGUGUAGGCGGUUCUUUAAGUUUGGUGUGAAAUCUCCCGGCUUAACCGGGAGGGUGCGCCGAAUACUGAGGGACUAGAGUACGGGAGAGGAAAGUGGAAUUCCUGGUGUAGCGGUGAAAUGCGUAGAUAUCAGGAGGAACACCGGUGGUGUAGACGGCUUUCUGGACCGUAACUGACGCUGAGACACGAAAGCUAGGGGAGCAAACAGG
rnacentral:rRNA from 1 species